UCAUAUAGACAAGAUGCAACAUCCUAUCCUAGUGGACAUGAUCUUAUCUUAUUGUGCUUGCCCUCUACGACAACCUCUUUCCGAUGUGAGAUCUCUCUAAUCCCUGAGCAUCUUAGCUCAGCACACCGUACUCUAGAGGCCCUAUGCUCUGAUACCAUCUGUAACAGCCCGAAAACCGGUACCCUCUUUGUAACGGCCCAAACUGCUCGGCACUAGGAUCCAGAUCGGCUUAAGGCCGCC
rnacentral:lncRNA from 1 species